UCAGGAUGAACGCUAGCUACAGGCUUAACACAUGCAAGUCAGGGGCAGCAUGAAGAUGUGCUUGCACAACUUUGAUGGCGACCGGCGCACGGGUGAGUAACGCGUAUCCAACCUUCCCUAUAGUAGAGAAUAGCCCGGCGAAAGUCGGAUUAAUGCUCUAUGUUCUUCUUUGAUGGCAUCUGACGAGAAGCAAAGGUUCACCGCUAUAGGAUGGGGGAUGCGUCUGAUUAGGUAGUCGGCGGGGUAACGGCCCACCGAGCCAACGAUCAGUAGGGGUUCUGAGAGGAAGGUCCCCCACAUUGGUACUGAGACACGGACCAAACUCCUACGGGAGGCAGCAGUGAGGAAUAUUGGUCAAUGGGCGAGAGCCUGAACCAGCCAAGUAGCGUGCAGGACGACUGCCCUAUGGGUUGUAAACUGCUUUUAUGCGGGAAUAAAGUCCACUACGUGUAGUGGUUUGUAUGUACCGCAUGAAUAAGGACCGGCUAAUUCCGUGCCAGCCGCCGC
rnacentral:rRNA from 1 species